rnacentral:rRNA from 1 species
GACGAACGCUGGCGGCGUGCUUAACACAUGCAAGUCGAACGGAAAGGCCCUGCUUUUGUGGGGUGCUCGAGUGGCGAAAGGGUGAGUAACACGUGAGUAACCUGCCCUUGACUUUGGGAUAACUUCAGGAAACUGGGGCUAAUACCGGAUAGGAACUCCUGCUGCAUGGUGGGGGUUGGAAAGUUUCGGCGGUUGGGGAUGGACUCGCGGCUUAUCAGCUUGUUGGUGGGGUAGUGGCUUAUCAAGGCUUUGACGGGUAGCCGGCCUGAGAGGGUGACCGGCCACAUUGGGACUGAGAUACGGCCCAGACUCCUACGGGAGGCAGCAGUGGGGAAUAUUGCACAAUGGGCGGAAGCCUGAUGCAGCAACGCCGCGUGCGGGAUGACGGCCUUCGGGUUGUAAACCGCUUUCGCCUGUGACGAAGCGUGAGUGACGGUAAUGGGUAAAGAAGCACCGGCUAACUACGUG